CCUACGGGAGGCAGCAGUGAGGAAUAUUGGUCAAUGGCCGGAAGGCUGAACCAGCCAUGCCGCGUGAAGGUCAGUGCCCUAUGGGCGUUAAACUUCUUUUGUGCGGGAGCAAUAAUGGUCACGUGUGGCCAGACGAGAGUACCGUACGAAUAAGCAUCGGCUAACUCCGUGCCAGCAGCCGCGGUAAUACGGGGGAUGCAAGCGUUAUCCGGAUUUAUUGGGUUUAAAGGGUGCGUAGGCUGUGAGGUAAGUCAGCGGUGAAAUGCCCCGGCGCAACGGGGUGAAGUGCCAUUGAUACUGCCUUGAUGGAGUGCGGAUGAGGUGGGAGGAAUGUGUGGUGUAGCGGUGAAAUGCAUAGAGAUCACACAGAACACCGAUUGCGAAGGCAUCUCACGGAUCCGCGAUUGACGCUGAUGCACGAAAGCGUGGGUAGCAAACAGGUUUAGAUACCCCUGUAGUC
rnacentral:rRNA from 1 species